rnacentral:rRNA from 1 species
AUUGAACGCUGGCGGCAGGCCUAACACAUGCAAGUCGAGCGGAUGAAGGGAGCUUGCUCCUGGAUUCAGCGGCGGACGGGUGAGUAAUGCCUAGGAAUCUGCCUGGUAGUGGGGGAUAACGUCCGGAAACGGGCGCUAAUACCGCAUACGUCCUGAGGGAGAAAGUGGGGGAUCUUCGGACCUCACGCUAUCAGAUGAGCCUAGGUCGGAUUAGCUAGUUGGUGGGGUAAAGGCCUACCAAGGCGACGAUCCGUAACUGGUCUGAGAGGAUGAUCAGUCACACUGGUACUGAGACACGGUCCAGACUCCCACGGGAGGCAGCAGUGGGGAAUAUUGGACAAUGGGCGAAAGCCUGAUCCAGCCAUGCCACGUGUGUGAAGAAGGUCUUCGGAUUGUAAAGCACUUUAAGUUGGGAGGAAGGGCAGUAAGUUAAUACCUUGCUGUUUUGACGUUACCAACAGAAUAAGCACCGGCUAACUUCGUG